UGCCGACAGGGGUGUUACCGCCCAGCCGGCUCCUCCCUAGUGCCGGUCGGGCUUUGGCCGCGCUUGCCCCCAUCUGGGAAGUUGCUGUAGAAAAGGGUCUUAUAUAGCCUGAUUGGAUGUGGCCAAGGAUUUGCAAGCAGUGAGACUGAUGGGAUUUUCCUGGCUUAUCGAUGCCUAUGUCAAGAGCCUUCCACAAGUGCAAUGAGGCAUUUUAUUUGUAUGUGAAACCUAGAUUUAAAGGUGAAUUAUAAGCUCUUCUAUUUCUUGAGCUUGUAGUUAAUUAAAUGCAAAAUGAAAAUUUUGCACAUACAUUUCUGGUGAGCAUCACAUUCCUUGCACAUCACACUAAGAAGACACAAAGGGGAGAGAGGAUGGGAAAACCAACUUUUUCAGAUGUAUCAAGACAGAUUAAAAGAGCUGUGUGUCUUCAGCUCACUGGUGACUAGUUUUAGAUUUUUCUCUAGUUCUGAAAGUAGUGUGCCUGAAAUUCCAGCAGCAACAUGAUCCAAGUGUGAGAUCCAUGAGAGCAGAUAGUGGGCAGGAGUCUGAGAAUCCACAGGACCCUGAUAAAUGACAUUUUCUAGCAUAAGAAUCAGAAAUGGUAAAAUAAAAUCCAAAGAAAAUCAGAGUGGGACUAAGUCAGUUUGAAUUUCAGGCUUUCAAGUGCCUCCUAUGUGAGCUUGCUUCUUCCUUGUACAAAUGCAUUUUGAUUGAAUCCUGCAGACCUUCCUCUCUAACUUCCAUUCUUCCUUCCUGGAUGUUAUUGGGACAGUGAUUUUUGGAAAAGACAACUACUUUACCUUCUCUCCAGACUUAAAAAUCUGACCCAGAUGGCAGCUGUAACUGUCAUGAGAGCACGCAGAAGAUGAACAUAAAUACGUCUAACUGUGUAAUAGGAAUAAAUACCUUGUCAAUUUGGUUAAUCUCAGGAUUGAGCACUAAACAUCUGGAUACACUCUAUGUCAAGGGCUGGGAAACUCCUCUCAAAAUUCUGUCAGGGCACAUCCCUGCCGGCCCCACUGUUCAAAUGUUUGACAUUGCUGCAACAAAGAUUGCUAAUCUUGCUAAAUGAUGAGCACUCACCUGCUCGGGGCUACUGUAGUCUGAAAAUGAAGGAUUUACAUAAUGCCUUGGCCAAGUCAGACUUUAACUUGGCAUCACUGCGGUAAAAGAUUAGUGAGGUAACCUAUUGCAUCACCUGCCACUUGCCGUUACCUUGGGCUGACAUGCUGUCAGCUCCUGAACUUCCCCAUUCAGUACUUUAAACUAGCCUUAGAUUUUCUAGAAUACCAGAUAAUUCAGAAAAUUACAAGCUUUCUUGAUACGUGUUAGGACAAAAAAACUUUGCUUUAAAGUCUAUUGUUUUAAAACAAUUUCUUUCAUAAUAAUUGUUUUCAAAAAUCCCACAACUUGACGUAUCAGAAAUAUGGAGAGCAUAUUGCCAAAGGGAAGUAAGAUCUUCAGAAAGCAGGAAGAUCUUGACAGAAAUUACUUAAACUAUCAUAUGGCUGUUCCUUAGAAGGGACAAAUAAAGUAGGAAAAUAUUUAAUCCAUUCUUUGCUCUCUGUGGCUUGUUUAUCAUUUUUUCAAACUAAUGCCCUUUUGUAGGAAUUGCAGUGAAGUGUAACAUUUCCGGAAUGCACGGAUACCUGUGACUUUCAGUGGGAUUAGUGGAAGGGACUGAAUGAUAAGAAGAGCCAUCAGUCUAAUGGCUACCCACAAACACUAAACAAGAGGUGUCAGCGCAGGUAUUGGAUGUUGGGACACCAUCCCAGAACUGACCUAACCUGAGAGGACAAGGUUUCAACUCAGCUGACUCUUAAUUUGUUAUGUUGGAUGCUUAAAAGAUCCACAGACACAAGACCUGACAUCCUUUAAGGUUCCCGUUUUGCAAAGUCUCUGUAGCUCUGUA